UCAGAAAAAGAAAAUUCCGCUCUGGGAGGACUUCAGCCGGAUACCACUCUUUUUUCUCUUCUUUCGGGGAACCUCAAAAAGAAGAAGAAGGAGAAAAAAAAGCAGCCGUUGAAAAAGGGGAAGUUGUUUCUCCUCAGCUUUGUCGUGGAGCAGUCACAAAACCAGUGGUGGACGAAGUACGCUUUAUUCUCACGUUGGGUUUGUGAUAGUAACAUAGGUAGAAGUGAAGGGAAGGACACCAGACGGUGAAGAGCACAAGAGGGAAAGACAAAAAAAACCCUUACUAACUCCGAACCCACAUCCUACAACAAAACCUCCAGAUUUUAAAGUGAAAAAGAGAAAAAGAGAGCCCUGCUGGUG